rnacentral:antisense_RNA from 1 species
UAGCUGUUUUUCCAGUUCUGCAAUCUUGGCCAUGGAUUCGUUCUCUGCGUCUCGAAGCCGCUCUGUCAGCUGUAGCACCAGCACAUGUUCCUCCAUGUGCUCCAGCACAGCGUUCUUGGUCUCUGUGUCCUCCAGCAGCGCCCCCACAUCAAAAACAUUGUCCAGGUACGCCUGGAUCUGCACCUGCAGCUUGUCACUCUCGGUGAGCCGAAGUCUCUGUCCCCCAGAUGGAAGAAGUGGGGUGAGGCCUGGUGUGUGUGUGGGGGAGUCUUUCCAAAUCCCCCCCCACCACCACUGCCAUCCAGAGGAAGGGGCCUGAGCCCUAGCCUACUUUUUCUUUAUUUUUUAAGAUAUAAUUCACAUGUCAUAAAAUC